rnacentral:rRNA from 1 species
UACGGAGGGUGCAAGCGUUGUCCGGAUUUAUUGGGCUUAAAGGGUGCGUAGGCGGCCCCUUAAGUCAGUGGUGAAAGCCCGCGGCUCAACCGCGGAACUGCCAUUGAUACUGGGGGGCUUGAGUACAGACGAGGUAGGCGGAAUUGAAGAUGUAGCGGUGAAAUGCUUAGAUAUCUUCAAGAACACCGAUUGCGUAGGCAGCUUACUAGGCUGUAACUGACGCUGAGGCACGAAAGCGUGGGGAGCGAACAGG